GAUCAUGGCUCAGGACGAACGCUGGCGGCGUGUCUAAUACAUGCAAGAGCGGACAGAUGGGAGCUUGCUCCCUGAUGUCAGCGGCGGACGGGUGAGUAACACGUGUAACCUGCCUGUAAGACUGGGAUAACUCCGGGAAACCGGGGCUAAUACCGGAUGCUUGUGAACCGCAUGGUUCAGACAUAAAAGGUGGCUUCGGCUACCACUUACAGAUGGACCCGGCGCAUUAGCUAGUUGGUGAGGUAACGGCUCACCAAGGCGACGAUGCGUAGCCGACCUGAGGGUGAUCGGCCACACUGGGACUGAGACACGGCCCAGACUCCUACAGGAGGCAGCAGAGGGAAUCUUCCGCAAUGGACGAAAGUCUGACGGAGCAACGCCGCGUGAGUGAUGAAGGUUUUCGGAUCGUAAAGCUCUGUUGUUAGGGAAGAACAAGUGCCGUUCAGAUAGGGCGGCACCUUGACGGUACCUAACCAGAAAGCCACGGCUAACUACGUGCCAGCAGCCCCGGUAAUACGUAGGUGGCAAGCGUUGUCCGGAAUUAUUGGGCGUAAAGGGCUCGCAGGGGGUUUCUUAAGUCUGAUGUGAAAGCCCCCGGCUCAACCGGGGAGGGUCAUUGGAAGCUGGGGAACUUGAGUGCAGAAGAGGAGAGUGGAAUUCCACGUGUAGCGGUGAAAUGCGUAAAGAUGUGGAGGAACACCAGUGGCGAAGGCGACUCUCUGGUCUGUAACUGACGCUGGGGAGCGAAAGCGUGGGGAGCGAACAGGAUUAGAUACCCUGGUAGUCCU
rnacentral:rRNA from 1 species